UCUUAUGGAUGAGCAAAGAAUGGUUUCUUGAGAUGGAAGCUACCCGUGGUGAAGAUGCUGUGAA
rnacentral:pre_miRNA from 1 species